rnacentral:lncRNA from 1 species
GGAGUGGCGCUCCUCUCGCGAGACUUGAAACGGGUGUUCCCGUGUGUCGGGGGAGGGGGGGGCGGGCGGCCGAAGGGUAUCUUCGAGCCCCGAGGGAGUUUUGCGGGAUUGGAGGAGGAACACCCCUCGUGGCGCGCCAGAUUGGGCGGGAAGGAGUUGAGGAAGAGGAGAAGCCCUACGGACAGCGGAGGGGGAGCGUGGGCGGCGCGCGGCGGCCCCGGGACCACGCUUGGGCGAGACGCGACGCCACGGCCAGGACCUCCAGCUUGAAAGCCUGUCAUCAGAUCUCAUGCUGUCCUGCUAAGUGUCAGCGUG